rnacentral:sRNA from 1 species
AAAAUCUGAACAAAAUGAGUGAGAACUCACUACCGUCUCCUCAUCGAAACUGAGGUCCAGCACGUUGCCUCCCUUGGGGUUAAGGGUGGGACUGGUUAGCAGUGAGGGCGUCUCCGACUGUGUCACACACACGCAUGGAGGAGCCAGGUCACCACCAUUUGCGAGGCUCCCGUGUGAGGGUGGGCCAUGUACAGAUAUUCUAGCGGCCCUCUUGGAAUACAAGGUCCAUGUAAAGGCACUGAGGAGCAUAGAGCCAUCUGGCUUGUCCAGUGGUGGUAGGUGUCGCAGUAGACCCUAGCCUCAGACAGUUGACGUCUUAGCUUGGAAAGGUGCAUUUUGUCCUGAUUCCUGCUGCAGAUGCACUAAUUGGGGCUCUGGUGAUGUCGAUUCUAAAGCAAUGAAGCUUCUGUGGUUUGUGAUUGGAGCCCCAGGUCAGGUCUGAGGCCCUCGCCGUUGCAUCCCUUUGGGUUGCUGAGAUUCCUGAGUGCCAUGUGGGCUGCAGUGGCUGCAGAGACCUGGGGGAAUGGUGGCAGUUGUGAAAGUUAAUAGGCCCAUUUCUGCCCUUGGCAGUGGCUGAAUUGCAACUCCUGUCACGUGCUUGAGUCUUGGAGGUCGCCAUGGACUAUGCUGUGGUCCUAGGCCUGCAUUCCUCCUGCAGGUUGGCCAGAGGCCCAGAGAAGAAUGUUUGUGCAGGUCUUCUGAAGUCUUCCUGAAAGCAUCCCUGGUGAUCUGUGAGCCCUUGGUCGUGUUGCCCGCCUUCUUCCUGUGGGUCUUGCUGGAUGCUCAUUGUCCCUGUGAGCCGAGGCCCUGGAGGCUUCAGAUUUAGGUGAAGUUGCCACGUAUGACUGUCCAUCAGCCAGGAGAUGAACCCCCACCCGUGAGGCAGUGACUCAAGGUGCAAGGGAGUCCGGCAAGAAGUGUGGCGCACCCGAGUUGCUGCCACUGCUUUUUGGAUCACCCAGCACGGUACGGCUUCUCCUGCCCCAAGACGUGUUGUGAAUUUCAGGUUUCCUGGGACUGCCUGAGUGGUUGUACGUAUACAGGGACCGUUCCUCUUGCUGAGAAGCCUGAUGGCUCUGAGUUCCCCUGGCUGCUGGAGGACUCCCGGGUCACUGGCUCCUCCUGGGAGCAGCCCUUCCUGCCGUGAGGAGGUGGGCAGCAAGCCAGCACGUGCUCGGAUCGAUGAUGACACCCUCACAUGCAUUCCUUGGAAAAUCUGAACAAAAUGAGUGAGAACUCACUACCGUCUCCUCA